rnacentral:tRNA from 6 species
GAUGCCGUGGCAGAAUGGUAAUGUGCAGGACUGCAAAUCCUGUUUGUGCGGGUUCGAGCCCCGUCGGCAUCU